CGGAAGGACUCCGCCCCCGCGGCCAGGCGGCGGCUCAGCGCGGGGCUGCGGCGGGGAAGCGGGCGUGGGCCAGCCGCACCUGGCCGGGGCAGCCGCAGAUCAGAAGAGGAGUCAUGUCAGAAGAAACAGUAAAGGAAUCACAGUUUUCCUUGAAGACAGCAGUACUAAGAGUGUUUGAUCUUCCUGUGUCUUGGUACUAUUCUCUCUCCCAGGACUACAUGCUUAAAAGAAAAUUUGACAAAUAUGGAAAAGAAUUAAAGAGAAAAUAAAAAUAAUCAACAGUUCCUCUAUAAAAGCUUAUUUGCUAUACUUUCUCUAGAUCUUUUAUUUUUGUAUAUAUCUCUCUGCCCUCCACUCCCCUCUCCCUGCCCCCACUACCUUAUUCCCCCCAUUUGAGAUUAUAAAGUUCUAUAUUUUGAACAUUUUCUAUCAUUAAAAAUGCCUUAUGACUAUAGAUGUACUAUAGUUUAUUGAAUAUUUUUCUGGUUUUAUGUUUCUGGUUUGUUUCAACAGUUUAUUAUUUAUAUAUAUCUUUGUCCAAUUUUUAGAUUUUUAUUAAGGUAGAUUCCUAGAGGUGAAAAUAUUAAGUCUAAAUGUUUGGUAUUCUUUUAUUUGUAUAUGUUAUACCAUUUGGAUGACAUUUCAAAGACUAGCAGAAGGACGUGUAUAAAGCAUUGUGCUACACAUUUUGUUGGGUACGUUUCCAAGUUCAUUUAGUCCUUACAAUGAUCUUUUUAAAAAUGUAUUAUUUGAAUAGGUAAUACGGUUCACAGAUCAAAACCACACACAUAUAUACAGAUACAUACAUGAAGAUGUUUUGCUAUCUCAAUCUC
rnacentral:lncRNA from 1 species